rnacentral:rRNA from 1 species
AAACUUUCAACAACGGAUUUCUUGGUUCUGGCAUCGAUGAAGAACGCAGGGAAAUGCGAUAAGUAAUGUGAAUUGCAGAAUUCAGUGAAUCUUCGAUUCUUUGAACGCACUUUGGGCCCCUGGGCAUUCCGAGGGGCAUGCCUCUUCGAGGGUCAUU